rnacentral:rRNA from 1 species
GGGCGCAGCAGGCGCGAAACCUUUACACUGUACGAAAGUGCGAUAAGGGGACUCCGAGUGUGAAGGCAUAGAGCCUUCACUUUUGUACACCGUAAGGUGGUGCACGAAUAAGGACUGGGUAAGACCGGUGCCGGCCGCCGCGGUAAUACCGGCAGUCCGAGUGAUGGCCGAUCUUAUUGGGCCUAAAGCGUCCGUAGCUGGCUGAACAAGUCCGUUGGGAAAUCUGUCCGCUUAACGGGCAGGCGUCCGGCGGAAACUGUUCAGCUUGGGACCGGAAGACCUGAGGGGUACGUCUGGGGUAGGUGUGAAAUCCUGUAAUCCUGGACGGACCGCCGGUGGCGAAAGCGCCUCAGGAGAACGGAUCCGACAGUGAGGGACGAAAGCUAGGGUCUCGAACCGGAUUAGAUACCCGGGUAGUCCUAGCUGUAAACGAUGUCCGCUAGGUGUGGCGCAGGCUACGAGCCUGCGCUGUGCCGUAGGGAAGCCGAGAAGCGGACCGCCUGGGAAGUACGUCUGCAAGGAUGAAACUUAAAGGAAUUGGCGGGGGAGCACUACAACCGGAGGAGCCUGCGGUUUAAUUGGACUCAACGCCGGACAUCUCACCAGCCCCGACAGUAGUAAUGACGAUCAGGUUGAUGACCUUACCCGAGGCUACUGAGAGGAGGUGCAUGGCCGCCGUCAGCUCGUACCGUGAGGCGUCCUGUUAAGUCAGGCAACGAGCGAGACCCGCACUCCUAAUUGCCAGCAGUACCCUUUGGGUAGCUGGGUACAUUAGGUGGACUGCCGCUGCCAAAGCGGAGGAAGGAACGGGCAACGGUAGGUCAGUAUGCCCCGAAUGGGCUGGGCAACACGCGGGCUACAAUGGUCGAGACAAUGGGAAGCCACUCCGAGAGGAGGCGCUAAUCUCCUAAACUCGAUCGUAGUUCGGAUUGAGGGCUGAAACUCGCCCUCAUGAAGCUGGACUCGGUAGUAAUCGCGUGUCAGCAGCGCGCGGUGAGUACGUCCCUGCUCCUUGCACACACC